rnacentral:rRNA from 1 species
GGGGGGGGGGGGGGGGGGGGGGGGGGGGGGGGGGGGGGGGGGGGGGGGAGGAGGGGGUGGGUUGAAGGGGUGGGGAGUGGGGGACGGGUGAGGGAGGCGCUGGGAGCGAGGGGUGCGCGGGGGGGAGCGGAGGGGACGUGCCGCUAGGACCGGUGACGCACUACGGGUGCACGCCGGGGAGCCACGGACCAUGCGCGCUUGAACGACGCGAUGUCGGAUUAGCUAGUUGGCGGGGUGACGGCCUCCCUAGACGACCAUCCGAAGCUGUUCUGAGAGGAUGAUCAGCCACACUGGAACUGAGACACGGUCCAGACUCCUACGGGAGGCAGCAGUGGGGAAUAUUGGACAAUGGGCGCAAGCCUGAUCCAGCCAUACCGCGUGGGUGAAGAAGGCCUUCGGGUUGUAAAGCCCUUUUGUUGGGAAAGAAAAGCAGCAGGUUAAUACCCCGCUGUUCUGACGGUACCCAAAGAAUAAGCACCGGCUAACUUCGUG